ensembl:lncRNA
UGUGUGUGUGUGUGACUGGUGGGCAGAGCUAGCUGUGUGUGUGUGUGUGACUGGUGGGCAGAGCUAGCUGUGUGUGUGUGUGACUGGUGGGCAGAGCUAGCUGUGUGUGUGUGUGACUGGUGGGCAGAGCUAGCUGUGUGUGUGUGUGACUGGUGGGCAGAGCUAGCUGUGUGUGUGUGUCUGUGUGACUGGUGGGCAGAGCUAGCUGUGUGACUGGUGGGCAGAGUUAGCUGUGUGACUGGUGGGCAGAGCUAGCUGUGUGUGUG